GACGCAGGAUGCAAGCGUUAUCCGGAAUGAUUGGGCGUAAAGCGUCCGCAGGUGGCAGUUCAAGUCUGCUGUCAAAGACCGGGGCUUAACUUCGGAAAGGCAGUGGAAACUGAACAGCUAGAGUAUGGUAGGGGCAGAGGGAAUUCCUGGUGUAGCGGUGAAAUGCGUAGAGAUCAGGAAGAACAUCGGUGGCGAAGGCGCUCUGCUGGACCAUAACUGACACUCAGGGACGAAAGCUAGGGGAGCGAAUGGG
rnacentral:rRNA from 1 species